rnacentral:piRNA from 1 species
UUGGGGUAUAUCUGAGGUGGACACAGU